rnacentral:lncRNA from 1 species
CACUUCUUCCCCAAAACCAAAACCCACCAAAAUCGACACCACCAAACCCCAUAUUUUGAUCAAAAUUCUCUUUACUUGUAUAUCCUUCCUCUUCAUUUCUUCUUAAUACUAAAUUCUACUUGACUCCUCCAUCCCAGUCACUUGACUGUUAUCAUUAUCACUUCUUGACUUAUUCUCGGAAAACACGAUAAUAUUCUCAUUAAUGUCAUUUUUCGAAGUAAUAUAAAUUCUACGGUUUGACUAUUUUCAAUAGGAUUUCUUGAUUUUUUUGAAGAUUACCAUUACCGGAGUCUCCAUAAUUGAAGAGCUCGAAGAGGACAUUAGUCAUUACCUCAAACAGUUGGUUAUACUCCUAGAUUUAAUCGAAACCCAUGUCAUUUUGGGAUGGAAUUGGAUUAGGGUUGUGAUCCGGGUUGUUGAAGAAAUUCUAGAGGUUGGAAGCGUAGCCUGAGGGAAAGCCUCUGGAGGAACGAAGCCAUUUGAGCCAGUUUGAAUCGAGAUUGAACUCUCACAAUACAGGUAUUCGUGGUGCAAAUUUAGUUGGGUUUUAGUUUUAGGGAGUGGGUGGAGAAGAUGAUGAAUAGUGU